CUUUCCUUCGGGACAGAGGAGACAGGUGGUGCAUGGUUGUCGUCAGCUCGUGUCGUGAGAUGUUGGGUUAAGUCCCGCAACGAGCGCAACCCUUAUGCUUAGUUGCCAGCAGGUCAAGCUGGGCACUCUAAGCAGACUGCCGGUGACAAACCGGAGGAAGGUGGGGAUGACGUCAAAUCAUCAUGCCCCUUAUGACCUGGGCUACACACGUACUACAAUGGCCGGUACAACGGGAAGCGAAGCCGCGAGGUGGAGCCAAUCCUAGAAAAGCCGGUCUCAGUUCGGAUUGUAGGCUGCAACUCGCCUACAUGAAGUCGGAAUUGCUAGUAAUCGCGGAUCAGCAUGCCGCGGUGAAUACGUUCCCGGGUCUUGUACACACCGCCCGUCACACCACGAGAGUUUACAACACCCGAAGUCGGUGAGGUAACCGCAAGGGGCCAGCCGCCGAAGGUGGGGUAGAUGAUUGGGGUGAAGUCGUAACAAGGUAGCCGUAUCGGAAGGUGCGGCUGGAUCACCUCCUUUCUAUGGAGA
rnacentral:rRNA from 2 species